AUGAAGACCUUUCUCAUCCUUGCCCUCCUUGCUAUCGUGGCGACCACCACCACAACUGCAGUUAGAGUUCCAGUGCCACAAUUGCAGCCACAAAAUCCAUCUCAGCAACAACCACAAGAGCAAGUUCCAUUGGUGCAACAACAACAAUUUCUAGGGCAGCAACAACAACAAUUUCCAGGGCAACAACAACCAUUUCCACCACAACAGCCAUAUCCGCAGCCGCAACCAUUUCUGCCACAACUACCAUAUCCGCAGCCGCAACCAUUUCCACCACAACAAUCAUAUCCACAACCACAACCACAAUAUCCGCAACCACAACAACCAAUUUCGCAGCAACAAGCACAACUACUACAACAACAACAACAACAACAACAACAACAACAACAACAACAACAAAUCCUUCAACAAAUUCUGCAACAACAACUGAUUCCAUGCAGGGAUGUCGUCUUGCAACAACCCAAUAUAGCACAUGCAAGCUCACAAGUAUCGCAACAAAGUUACCAACUGUUGCAACAAUUAUGUUGUCAGCAACUGUGGCAGACCCCCGAGCAGUCACGGUGCCAAGCCAUCCACAAUGUCAUUCAUGCUAUUAUUUUGCAUCAUCGUCAUCAACAACAACAACAACAACAACAACAACAACAACAACAACCGUCGAGCCAGGGCUUCUUCCAGCCAUCUCAGCAAAACCCACAGGCCCAGGGCUUUGUCCAACCUCAGCAACUGCCGCAGUUCGAGGAAAUAAGGAACCUAGCGCUGCAGACGCUACCAGCAAUGUGCAAUGUCUACAUCCCUCCAUAUUGCUCGACCACCAUUGCGCCAUUUGGCAUCAUGAGUACUAACUGA
rnacentral:rRNA from 1 species